rnacentral:rRNA from 1 species
AAUAAUUUUAUUAUUUGUUUUUUUUUUAUAAUUUAAUUGAAGUAAUUUAUUUUAUUAGUAAAGUUUAUUGAAAUUUAAGUUUUUAAUUAUAGUUAAUUGUACUGUAAAGGUAGAAAUCUAUUAUUUAAAAGUAUUCUUUUUUGAAGUACCUUUUGUAUCAGGGGUUAUUAAUUAAAAUUUAUUAAUCAAUAAUUUUCUCGAAACUAAAAGAUAUAAAUUUUUAUGUUAUUCUUUGUUAUAAUAAGGUUGAUAAUAAAAGUUUAGUGGUUAUAUGCUUUUCAAUUUUAGAUAUCUAGUUUCUUAAUAAAUGAAUUUAAUUCAGAAAUUUUGAAGUUAACUUUUAAUUUUAUUUAUUUUAAUUCGAAAUUUUAAUAUUUUGGGGGAUUAGCUCUAUUUUAUUAUUAUAAAUUUUUUUAAUUUAAGUUUAGUAGGAUUAAUAACUUCCAUCUUAUAAAUUCGUUAUAGUUUAACUUAAUCUUAUAUUUAUUUAUUUAAUUUUAAUUUUUUAUUUGGAUUAUUUAUUUAAUUUUAUAAUAUAUUUAAUAAUGAUGACAUUAGUAGUUUUAAUAAUUCAAUUAUUUAGGAAUUCGGCAAUUGUGAUUUCUGCCUGUUUAACAAAAACAUGUCCUGUAGAUUUUAAUUAUAGGUCUAACCUGCUCAAUGAGUAUUUAAAUGGCUGCAGUAUAUUAACUGUACAAAGGUAGCAUAAUAAUUUGUCUUUUAAUUAAAGGCUGGUAUGAAUGGUUGGACAAGAAAUUAACUUUCUUUAUUUGAAUUUUUUAAUUUAAUUUUUUAGUUAAAAAGCUAAAAUAUUUUUAUAAGACGAGAAGACCCUAUAGAAUUUUAUUUUAUUAAUUAUUUAUAAUUUUAUUUUUUGUUAUUUUUAUUUAUUAAAAUUUGAUUGGGGUGAUUAUAAAAUUUUUGUAACUUUUAUUAUUAUGUUUCAUUAAUUUAUGUAAAUUUGAUCCAGUUUUAUUGAUUAUAAGAUUAAAUUACCUUAGGGAUAACAGCGUAAUUCUUUUGGAGAGUUCAAAUCGAUGAAUGGAGUUUGCGACCUCGAUGUUGGAUUAAAGAAAAUUUUGGGUGUAGGUGUUCAAAUAUUAGGUCUGUUCGACCUUUAAAUCUUUACAUGAUCUGAGUUCAGACCGGCGUGAGCCAGGUUGGUUUCUAUCUAUAAUAAGUUUUUAUAUAUUAGUACGAAAGGACCAUUUAUUAUUAAAAUUUAAUAUUUUUUGAUUUACAUUA